UGAAGAACCCACUGAAAAACUAGCUGUUUAUUUUCAAAAGUACCUACCUAUACCUACCUACAUAGGUAUAUUAUAAAUAAUAAAUUUGUUAGUUUGACAAUAAAUUACUUGUAAAGUUUGGGAAUUCCAACAAGAGAUGGACACGAAAAGAAAAAAAGGGGACACUUACUGUAGUGUUCCAGGGUGUAAAAAUCUCGGCGCAACAGGAUUAAGUUUUCACCAUUUUCCUAAAAACAAGGAUGUUCGAAAACUUUGGGAAACUGUGCUUGAAAUGAAAAAACCAGCGUCGAACUUCAUGAGAAUUUGCGCUGAACAUUUCUUUGACAGUGAUUAUUCGUCCAAACUAAUAAAACCGAAGCUAAAACGCUAUGCCGUCCCUAGUAGAAAAUUGCCCGGAAAACCUAAAACUUUCCUCAGUACUUAUAGUGUUACCCUCAGUACUCAUAGAGAUUCCAUCAACACUCAUAGUGACUCCAUCAAUACUCCUUGUGAAAACAUGACUGUUGCACGACCAAUACGGGUUUAUUCACGUUCUCAAAAAAAGAAGGCUAUUCCAGUUUUAGUCAAAUCUGAUGAAUCCAUGUGUCACACAAAGCAAGGCAAUAGCAGUGCCAGCGUAACAAUCAUGAAAGACAUAAAAAUAGAAUUUGACAUUAAUAAUGUAAGCGUACUUCCUGUAGAAUUUGAGGCAUCUACAAAAUUGGACAAAGAGUGUUUAGUUGAUGAAUCUUACCCUGAACAGGAAAAUAUUUUUAUUUGCAAUAGGUUGUUUGCUGAUGAAAGAACAUGUAAUGUAGAAGUUCAAACAUGUGUUGAGAGGAAUUCAAAUGUUAAAGUUAAAGAGGAACCUAUAUUUGAAAAUGAGGAAAUGGACUCUAAAAUUAAACUUGUACAUGAAAAUCAACACUACUGUAAAGAAGAACCUCCUGAAUUCUUGUUUGAUUGUAAAAAAGAACCAGAACUUCCCUGCAAAAGAGAACCUUCACCUGAACUUAUACCACAACAGGACCUGUUUAACCCUUAAGUUAAUUAGACUGCAGCCUCAGGCAUUCUUACUGAGAUUAAAAAGCCAAAGAAAGGCAAUUGAAAUUUAGGUCCACUGUUUGUACAUAUUUUCAAUAUAAAUAGUUUAUUAUUAUUACCAUUACUGUUGCAUUACCUUUUUUAUACUACCAGCUUUUACCCGCGACUUCGCCCGCGUCAAUUUGAAAUAAAAAUGAUUUCAUUCAAACUUUCACCCCCAUUAUAGUUUUAGGGGUUAAUCUUUGAAAAAAAAAGUUCGAGGAUCUUUAACUUGUCCCUGUCAAACCCUUCUACUUGCGGCUCAAAGUCAGUCCAUAUGGUCCCCAGGCCUCUCGGCAUACAUAAAACAUGGUGAGGACCAUAUCCAACUUUCAAAUAAUUAUUAUUGUAGUCUCCUAUUUUAAUUUUCUCCUGAAAUAUUAAAUCUACGUUAAUUACCUAGUAUUUUAUAAAUUUUAUUCUGUAACUAUAAUACAAGGCAAUUUAUUCUGUAGUUUGGUAUAAACAGACAAAAUUUUAAUUUAAUGUAUGUACCUAUAUACCAAUGUAUGUAUACUUAUAUUCUCCUUGAUGUAUACAGACCAUACGUUGACAGAGAAAAUUAUAAACGAAUCUUUCCUUUCGUUCAUACAAGAAAGAGAAGUCUAUAGUUUUCUCUGCCUAUUUUUUAACGGUAUUACCUAGUACUAA